UACGGAGGGGGGCUAGCGUUGUUCGGAAUUACUGGGCGUAAAGCGCACGUAGGCGGUUUUGUAAGUUAGAGGUGAAAGCCUGGGGCUCAACUCCAGAAUAGCCUUUAAGACUGCAUCACUUGAACACGGGAGAGGUGAGUGGAAUUCCGAGUGUAGAGGUGAAAUUCGUAGAUAUCGGGAGGAACACCGGUGGCGAAGGCGGCGACCUGGGUAGAUACUGACGCUGAGGUGCGAAAGCGUGGGGGAGCAAACAGG
rnacentral:rRNA from 1 species